AGCUUGGUGUAGACCGUGUGCAAGCCCCCCACCAAGUGCUUCAGGAAGAGGUCGAAAGCCUGGGGCAGGCAGAUGAGCUCGCAGCCCUCCACGGUGAAGGAGGCCACUUUGGCCCCCCUCAGAUCCACCAUCUUGCACUCGUUAUUCUGGGGGGUGUUCUCCACCGGGGACGGGGUCGAGUACACGGGCUUGCCGGGCAGACUGCUGGCCGCGCUGGUUGCGCUGGCAUUGGGAGUGGAAGUGCCGCCGCUGCCGCCGCCGCCGCCGGUGCCCAGGCUGGGGCUGCCGCUGCCGCCGCUGCUGCUGCCGUUACCGCCGCCGCCGCUGGUGGUGGAGGUGACUGUGGCCGUCGCCGCCGCUGCUGCCGCCGCUGCGAUGGGCUCCGGACGGAAUAGGUUUGUCCCCGAAGCGGCCGGCGGGGGAGCGAUGGAAGGAGACGGAGAGGAGGUGGCUGACGAGGAGGUGGCCGACGAGGAGGUGGUGGUGGUGGUGGUGCAGGCGGCAGAAGUUGAGACCGGAGGCUGAGGGGGGACCAGCUGGGUCGGAGGGAUCAAAGCAGCCGAUCAUAACAGUACCUGGAGAAGAUAAGAAUAGAUCCUGGAGAAGACCAGGACAGAGCCAGACGCGUGUGAUAUUACCACUUGGAGAUCUGAGAGAACUCUAAAUUAGGAAACCUACCAUUUCAUUUGUUCUCUACAUUCUCCACAACGUGAUGCACACCAGCCCUUUUGCUUUUCUUCUUGCUGUGUGCUCCCACGGAUAUAUAAUCCUCAGGGUUCAAAACCGUAUAAAGAAAAUGUAGUUUGAAAGGGUUUAUUACCACAGGUUUGGGUUAAUCUUAGUCGUUUCAAUGCAACAGUGGGAUUAGAAACCUAGAAAAAAAGAGAUUUAUGAAAAGGUCCAAGACUUCUCUGGCUUGGUAAGUGUUUCUCGUGAUUAUGGGGAGUGACUGGAUUUAUUUGAACUCACACAUAUACUCACAUGCUCCCACAAACACAUGAACAAAUCCUGAGGCUGCUUUGUGUAAACUUUUUUAGAUUGCAUUUCUCUUACUCGCUGACCCUUUUAUGUAAUGAUAUUGUUGGGUGUUUUCUUUUUUUUCUCCCUGAGUUGAUAUCAGCAAAACUCAGAUUACUGUAACUGAUACUUGAAAAAUCCCCCUGCAUCAAGUGAAGACUUAUGGUGGUGAAAUCAAUGACUGUUUAAAAUUCAAAGACCUGCAAAUCGUUCUGUUUGUCCUUUGAUAGGGCCUGGGCUGAUUAAAAUGCGACCAAGAAAGCUUAAUUGCUGCACUAAUUAACAAGUCUUUAAUUUCUUUCCUGGAAUAUUGUUUGAAGCAGGGCUUCUGUUCUGCUCAUGUAACUGUUCAGGGCAGGUAUUCUCUGUAUUUCUCUGUCUCCUUUUUUUUUUUUUCCCUUUGACCAUUUUGCUGUAUUAAAAUGUACGUUAAAGCAGUAAGAUGUAUUGACAGUGAUUGUAAUUUAUUGCUCUAAAAAAAGACUGAUAUGGAGUUCACUGUUUUAUUAAAUUACGAAUUUGAGGGCAGCUGUAAAGGGUAAAACGCAAUUAGAAAAUGCAUUGUAGCUGUUGCAUUUUAAGGAAUCUGAAUACCUGACUGACAGGACAUAGGAGAGUACCUCAGCUCCCCCUUCCCAACCCCAAUCACUUAUUAUUGAUAAUUAAAUGUUUAAAUUCAUUCAGAAAAACAGAAAAGUAUUUAUCUUCUGAACGUGUGUGAAGGAAUGGACCGGGGGAGGGGAUGCAUGCGGAAGAUAGACACCUGGUAAGGAUGAAUAAUGUAUUACCCUGUUAAGUUAAUCCACGAUAUUUACCCCCUUCCUCUCCCCCCCUCCCCUGCAUUUCUUUUAAUUUUCUUUUCCUGAGAAAUUUCUGUCUUGUGUUUUGUCUUAUCCUUGUCUAGUGACCUAUUUUGUUCACCAGUUUCUGAAGAGAAGAAACUAAAGGAUUUCACAAACCUUUCUGUGUGAUCGAUAGAGUAAUGGUUUAGGUUUAAUCAUGCUGCAUGGUAAUUCUUGCAAACUACUGCUGAGCAGAAGAUUCUAAGAAAGGAGCAAGUACCCGCAAAGAGAAGGUAAGUUCUGGUUUGCUUUUAAUCUCCGGGGUCUCAAGCAGCAGUCCUCCUUUCAGGAGCUAUCUGUUAUUUAGAGGGAAGCCUGAGGAAGAGGGAGGGACCUCAUACCAAAUCCCCCCUGCAUCGCUCAGGAAAAAAGACUCAUAGAAAUGUAAGCCUGUGAAUUGGGAUGCUUUUUUUGGUUUUUUCCCCUCUUUCCCCUUCCACCAAGAUAUUUACUAAACAUUGAAAACACCAUGAAUGCUGUCGAGAUUGAUGGGAAGUGUUGUACCAGUAAUAAGAAACUGGAUACUGCAGUGAUGUUUUUCUAAUUGUUGCUUUAUAGUCAAACUAGCACAGACCUUGUCCAAUACAAAUACAAACUGGAUUCCUUUCAGUGACAGGACAAGUAGAUAACAUGCUUAAUAGAUACAAAGGGAGAUUUACCAUUCCGAGCACGACGUCACGCUAAUUAUGUUUACUCUAAUUGAAAGCAAGGUUUUGGGGAACCUGAAAUAACUCAUAGGAUAUUUUUAAUAGCUGAAGAAUAAUAAUAAAGUGCAGCAAAUGUUGAUCACAUAGAUUUCAAAAAUCUAUUGGAAAAUUAAAUGAAAAGUAGACUUUGGUACAAACAAUGCCCCAGGGCAAAAAACAACUAACACUAGAUUUUCCAGUCCAGCCAUAACACAAAUCAAUUUGAGCACACUUCUAUGGCCAGACUGCCAGAUUGUUAUGACUGCUAAUUCACUCAAUCAAACAGUGCAUUAGCACGCCCGGCACAAACAGCUUCAACAAUAGCAUACACUUCUGAACAGUCCACCAUAUAUCAUAAAAAGUCCAGAAUACACGGCAAGAUUGCUUUCACAUUCUGUUUACUGCAAUUUGUAGUUACGUAUGGUGCCUGCUUAAAAAAAAAAAAAAAAAAAGUGGAAGAAUGGAAUGAAAGAAACUUCAGGAGCCAUUAAAAAUAACUUUUGAAGUCUUUAAAAAUGAGAAUCUGGGGGCAAAUUAUCACUUGGGCUGGGUGUUUAAUGUGCCUCUCUCAGCUGGAGAGGUGAGAGAAGGGGCUCACAUCCCCAGCACAGGACCGGAGGGCUUGGCACACGCUCUGACUGACCCGAUGCCUUCAGCGCCGGAGUAGCUUCCGCCGGCUUAACUCCGACGAGGCACCUCACUGGUUCCGAGGGUAUCAUCCCCCGAGUACAAAGGCAGGAUUUACACACACCACCCCCACCACCCCACCCGAAUCCUUCAAUCCUGCCCCUUCAUCCCCACGAGAAAUGGGAGUUCUCUUCGGUGAUGCUCACUGAUGCUCUGACCAAAGACGCGCCGUGCUGAGAGAUAACGGUACCCGAUGGCUUGGGAAGCUUCUCACCCCUUCCCUCUGUCCUCCCUGCAUCCGACACACACACGCGCACAUACACACGUACAAACACACACCCCUGCACAAGCGCAUAUAUGCAAAUCGCAAAUAUCAAAACGCCAAUUAAGCGGCUUGAUUAUUUACGUGGUUUAAGUUGUUGGGGGGUUUUGUUGUUGUUGUUGUUUGGUUUUGUUUGGGUUUUUUUAUCUUUUUUUAUUAGUCGCUGUUCUGACUUUAGAAAAUAAGUUUCGAAGUCAGUUGGUAAAAUAACCCUUACGUUGAUUUGAGCCUCUCGGUCGCGUUGCAGCUUCCAGAGCCAAACGGUGAAGCGGAUGGGGGGUCGGGUUCCAAGCUCGGGCUGGCUGGGGGUGGGGAGGGGAUGGAUGGAGGGAAGGAUGGAGGGAUGGAGCAGGGGCUCGGCAACGUGUGCUGACAUCCACCUUUAGACGGACGGCCAAGAGAGCAGGCUGCGGUGUGAGGAGGAAGCGGUAGCCAAGUUCCCUGCGUGAAUUAAAUGAGGACUGGAAUAGGCGGGGAGCCCUGUUUGAGUUACACUCGGGCUCUCAUUAGAGGUCCUCAGUCCAACGUGUUAAUUCACCUACCAACAGGUAGAGAAAGUCGCUCGGAGCAGUAAUUAUGAAGUGCAAAGCCACUGCCAUUAAAUUAUGUUAAAGCGGUGGUCUGCUUUGAGAUGCUCUUUCCCGUGCUCCCCCCCUCCCCGCCCCUUACAGAAUUAGUUAGCUCAGCCGCUCCAUCCCGAUCUCCCAGCCGAGGCUGAUCGAAAUACAGCCGCUGGAGAGCUGGCGCGGUGUUUAAAUGUUCCUGGAUUUUCAAUACGCGCCCCGAUCUCUGCCGGAGCCGCGGGGGGACCGCGGCAUCAUCCGUCCUUCCGUCAGUCCGUCCGUCGGUCCUUCCCCGCUGGUCUGGCCAGUCUCCCGGCGCCGGGGCCCGGGAUCGGGGCGGUGGGCGGUGGCUCGGCAGCCGCUCCAGCCCUAAUUGUUUCCUUUAGUAAUAAUAAAUAUAUUUAAAAAAUA